CCUACGGGAGGCAGCAGUGGGGAAUAUUGCACAAUGGGGGAAACCCUGAUGCAGCGACGCCGCGUGAGUGAAGAAGUAUUUCGGUAUGUAAAGCUCUAUCAGCAGGGAAGAAAAUGACGGUUACUGACUAAGAAGCCCCGGCUAAAUACGUGCCAGCAGCCGCGGUAAUACGUAGGGGGCAAGCGUUAUCCGGAUUUACUGGGUGUAAAGGGAGCGUAGACGGCAGCACAAGUCUGGAGUGAAAGGCCGGGGCUUAACCCCGGGACUGCUUUGGAAACUGUGGAGCUAGAGUGCAGGAGAGGUAAGUGGAAUGCCUAGUGUAGCGGUGAAAUGCGUAGAUAUUAGGAGGAACACCAGUGGCGAAGGCGGCUUACUGGACUGUAACUGACGUUGAGGCUCGAAAGCGUGGGGAGCAAACAGGAUUAGAUACCCCGGUAGUC
rnacentral:rRNA from 1 species